UACAGAGGUCCCAAGCGUUGUUCGGAUUUACUGGGCGUAAAGGGUGCGUAGGUGGUUGGGUAAGUUUGAUGUGAAAUCUCCGGGCUUAACCCGGAAAUGGCAUUGAAUACUAUUCGGCUAGAGGUUUGGAGGGGGGACUGGAAUUCUUGGUGUAGCAGUGAAAUGCGUAGAUAUCAAGAGGAACACCAGUGGCGAAGGCGGCAUCCUGGACCGACACUGACGCUGAGGCGCGAAAGCUAGGGGAGCGAACGGG
rnacentral:rRNA from 1 species